CAGUAGCCGCGGUAAUACGAAGGGGGCUAGCGUUGCUCGGAAUGACUGGGCGUAAAGGGCGCGUAGGCGGCGGCCAAAGUCAGGCGUGAAAUUCCCGGGCUCAACCUGGGGGCUGCGUUUGAUACUUGGUUGCUUGAGUGGGGAAGAGGGUCGUGGAAUUCCCAGUGUAGAGGUGAAAUUUGUAGAUAUUGGGAAGAACACCGGUGGCGAAGGCGGCGACCUGGUCCUUUACUGACGCUGAGGCGCGAAAGCGUGGGGAGCAAACAGGAUUAGAUACCCCUGUAGUCCCUGUCUCUUAUAC
rnacentral:rRNA from 1 species